GGCAAGGAUGAUAAACUCAUAUUUAUGACACCUCUUGUACGAGGAAACCCCUAAAAAAGUUAUUCCUUGAGCACAUUUAGCAACUCCCUGAGGUC